CAUUACCGAGAGAGGGGCUUCGCGCUCCCGGGGGCUUCGGCCUCCACCUCUUCACCCAUUGCGUACCUACCUUUGUUGCUUUGGCGGGCCAUGGGGUUCGCCCCACGCCGGCCUAUGCGCUGGUGAGCGCCCGUCAGAGGUCCUCAAAAUUCUGUUUAUAGUGACGUCCGAGUUAAACACAAAUAGUUAAAAACUUUCAACAACGGAUCUCUUGGUUCCAGCAUCGAUGAAGAACGCAGCGAAAUGCGAUAAGUAAUGUGAAUUGCAGAAUUCAGUGAAUCAUCGAAUCUUUGAACGCACAUUGCGCCCCUCGGUAUUCCGGGGGGCAUGCCUGUUCGAGCGUCAUUGCACCCCUCAAGCACAGCUUGGUAUUGGGUCUCGCCCCCCGGGCGUACUCGAAAAGCAGUGGCGGUCCGGAGCGACUUUAAGCGUAGUAAAUUUUCAUCCCGCUUUGAAAGAUCGUCUCGGGGCUGGCCAGAAACCUAAAAUUUUUCAUAAUUGACCU
rnacentral:rRNA from 1 species